rnacentral:lncRNA from 1 species
CACAAACCUAUCGGGGUCCUCUCCUCUAACACUGAAUAGAGCACCGCAUCCACCCAAUAUCCUCCAAUCAUAAAACAAGCCUUCUUCUCCAGGGGCAUCUAUUGACUAUCCGACAUCCCUUCAGACUUUUUCUCCAAUGUCAGAUCCAAAUCUGCUUAAACUAGGAGAUCUUCUAUCCGAACUUUUCACAUGAAAAAGUUUUCUUUCCCAUCAAACUUCUUAAAAUUAACCUUCAUGUUGCUUUUCAUGAC